AUCUUACCGUCGUGCAUACCUGAAGCGGGUCUGCCGCCUUCGUUUCUCUUUCUUCAGCGAAUGACUUUGACUUGCGCUCGCGCGCCGCAUCGCACCCUUCGGGUGCUGGCGCUCCGCGAGGGCGCGGCACAAGCCGCGACGGCCGGUCGGCCUUGCGAGACUUGCGUCUCGGUGGCGAGAGCCGAUUUAAGGCGCAGUGUCUAAGGGCUUGUAGCUCAGUUGGUUAGAGCGCGCGCUUGAUAAGCGUGAGGUCGGAGGUUCAAGUCCUCCCAGGCCCACCAUUCCUUUCGACACGAAGGUUAUCAGGGGCCGUAGCUCAGCUGGGAGAGCGCCUGCUUUGCAAGCAGGAUGUCGUCGGUUCGAUCCCGUCCGGCUCCACCAACCAUCUUCUGCGAAGAUGGGGCGUGUCGAGUAGAGACGGUGAGAAAAAAGUCAUUCGAAAAAGAGUUUGCGUCGAGCCCUGUGCUCUGCGCCUGUUCUGUUUGACAUCGUAAAGAGAAGAUUUGUUCGAACUUCAUGAGCCGCAAGGUCUCAUGAUUUGUCGCAAGGGACGCUCAAUCCCUUGCUUAUGAUGGGUUUGCCUAACCGCGCCCUCGAACGGAUCUCGAGAAGCUGGUCUUUUUGUGCCAAUUCCAUUGAAGCGGGUCCCGCACAGGAUCUGGUUCGAGGCGACGAUCUCUUCGAGAUCGCGCUUAGCUAACCUCGCAG
rnacentral:tRNA from 1 species